GCCGACUUGCAGCUGAUCUCCUUUUUCGCUUCUUCCCCGCCGGCCCAACCGGGUGUAACAAACCCUAACUCGUUCGAAACCCUAAACCCAAGAACUUCUCCAGCGGUAAUCUUCUUCCAUACCGGUCUUCCUGUAGAUCGUCGUCUUGAUUGAAGUUUACGGGUUUCGGAUUGCUUCCAUAAUUCGGCUGGCAAAGAAAUCCCUCUUGGCCGGCGUUGCCGUGAGAUAAUGCGAGAGAAGUAGGCCAGGAUCCAAACCGCUGGAUGGGACGGUGGAGCACUGACUUCUGAUUCCCACCGUAGGCAUUGGAGGCGCCUACCGUUGCUGUUUCGGGAUGCCGGUCGAGCAGGAUAAGGACCUGGAGGUCCUCCCCAGCAAUGGCGAGGAUUUGGUGGAGGGACCCAUCAGAUGCCUUAACUGUGGCAUCAGUGCAAAAUUGACAUGCCACAUGCGUAGUGGCCCAGAGGGACGUCGAACUUUAUGUAAUGCUUGUGGAAUUGCAUGGAGAAAGGGGAAACAGAGAAAGGUAAUUGACUACAACGUUCCAAUGAAGGACCUAGCGAACUCAAAUAUGGUACCAGAAAUUGAUAUGGAAUUCGAAAAUGAAGACAAGGCAUAUGAAUUUUACAAUAGAUAUGCGGGGAUGGUAGGAUUUAGUGUACGAAAAGGUUGGAUAGAUAAAUCAGCAGACAAAAUUACUAGAUCGAGAACACUUGUUUGCUCACGAGAAGGAUUUCGUAAGGACAAAAAGGGAGCUAAGGAAGUAAAGAAACCACGUCCGGAAACUAGAAUUGGUUGCCCUGCACGCUUGACCAUUAAACUUACACCUAGUGGUACAUAUCAUGUUACUGAAUUUGUGGCAGACCAUAAUCAUCAGCCUGCACCUCCUUCAGCCAUGCACAUGCUAAGGUCUCAAAGGAUACUGACUGAAGUUCAAACUGUUGAAGCAGUAGAUUUAUCUGAUGAUUCAGGAACCACUCCAAAGUCAGCUAACCACCUAACAGGCAGACAAGUUUCAGGCUCUCAAAAUGUCAGAUAUCUUCCCAUGGAUUACAGAAUGGGUCUUCGCUCGAAACGUAUGAAGACUAUGCAGAUGGGAGAUGCAGAAGCUGUUUUAAAGUACCUACAAAGCAUGCAACUUAAUGAUCCGUCCUUUUUUCAUUCCACACAAAUAGAUGAAGAUGAUAGAUUGACCAAUUUUUUCUGGGCAGAUGCAAAGUCUAUGUUGGACUUCAACUUCUUCGGCGAUGUAGUUUGUCUAGAUACAACUUACAGAGUAAAUGGAUAUGGUAGGCCAUUUGCACCUUUCCUUGGCGUGAAUCACCACAAGCAAAUUGUUACAUUUGGUGCAGCACUUCUGUAUGAUGAAACUAUAGAGUCCUUCAAGUGGUUGUUUGAUACUUUUAAGAUUGCAAUGCGUGGAAGACAACCAAAGACUAUCUUGACAGACCAGUCUACAUCAAUAAGUCAUGCACUAGAUGCAGUUUGGCCAGGUACCAGUCACCAUCUUUGUGUGUGGCAAGUCUAUCAAAAUGCUAUUAAGCAUCUCAAUCAUGUGUUCCAAAGUUCAAAAACUUUUGCUAAGGAUUUUGCUAGGUGUGUUUAUGACUACGAGGAUGAGGAAGAAUUAUUACCAGCCUGGCAAGAAAUGUUAGAAAAGUAUGAUCUUAGGAACAACGAAUGGCUGGCAAAGCUUUUCGAAGAAAGGGAGAAAUGGGCGCUCGUAUACAGCCGUCAAACACUUUGUGUUGAUAUGAAAAGCACGCUGCAGAAUGAGAACUUUAGUAGUUUGCUGAAGAAGUACUUGACAUCACAACUAGAUCUUUCAUCCUUUUUUAAACACUAUGAGAGGGUGGUGGAUGACCAUAGGUAUGCUGAACUCCAAGCUGAUUUUCAUGCAAGCCAAAGUUUUCCAAGAAUACCUCCUUCAAAAAUGUUAAAGCAAGCUGCUACUUUGUAUACUCCUGCAGUUUUUGAAAUGUUUCGUAAGGAGUUUGAGGUAUUCAUGGAUUGCAUGCUGUACAGCUAUGGUGAGGUUGGGACUAUAUCAGAUUAUAAAAUCACUGUUGGUGAAAAACCUAAAGAGUAUUUUGUUAGACUUGACUCGAGUGAUUAUUCUGUUGCCUGCAGUUGCAAGAAAUUUGAAUUUGUUGGGGUUCAAUGUGGUCAUGUGAUAAAGGUCCUUGAUGUUAGAAAUAUUAAAGAGCUGCCUGAACGAUAUUUCUUGAAGAGGUGGAGAAGGAAUGCCAAGUCUGAUACAGGGUCAGAGCCUGGAGGAAUUAUUGUUGAUGUUGACCCUAAGUCUCCCAUAACAACUUCAGCACAUGUGCAUUUAUCUUCAUAUGCUCAUAAUCAGGGCUCUCAUGCAGCAGCUCAAAUUAGUGAGGAAUAUCGUGCUUCUGAUUCUCAUCAGCUGUCAUUUCAUGGGAACACUCAGUUAAGUUAGGGAUAUACAACUCCGAAUGCGCGUUCACAUGAACCAGUUUAUGGUAGUUUGCAGUUUAACCACUUCAGCAACAACAACCGGGUAUAAUUCUCAACACCGGAUUGAUGAUGAGGCAUUCUAUUGCUAAAUGAAGGCAUCAAGUGAUUGUGGUUAUAUAUGGAAGGUUAUCAGCUUCAUAUCUAACCAAUGAGGGUAGUUCUUUAUGCCAAUCAACCUUUUCUAGGUCUCAUCGAGGGAGGAUAAUGCGGCCCUAGGUCUGAUGGGUGCUUCUGUUUGGUGGACAUUUGAUGCUCUUUGUUUGUUUGCAUAUGCUAGUUAGAUUAUAGUUCUGUAUCCAAUCAUAAGAAUAAUCUUAGUUAGUGCUGAAUGUGUAGUAUAUAUUUCGACAUCAUGGGAUGUAUCGCAUCUUAGUCAGUUGUAUGUUCAGUAAAUAUACCCGGGAAAUUAUAGUUCUUGUUGUUAUAUGAGGUAAAUAACCCAGUUAAUUGAA